rnacentral:lncRNA from 1 species
AGAGUUAGCCUUGGCUUUGGCAUUUCCUCGCUCAAUCUCAUAAGAGAAGAAAUCUCUAUGCCCCCUGUUCUUGGUUUUCUCCCAUGCUUUUGUUGGUCAACAACCAACCACAACUUUCUAUAGUUCUUCACUACUCCUAGAGGCUUGACGGAGUGAAGCUGUCCCCUGUCAUUCAGUGAAAAUCUAGUGAGUAAGGUAAGGGGGUACGGAAACGUCCUCUUAUC